GUGCACCAGGCGAGAAUUUUCUCAAUGGGCGAAAGCCUGAAGGAGCGACGCCGCGUGGGGGAUGAAUGGCUUCGGCCCGUAAACCCCUGUCAUUUGUGAACAAAUUGUUUCACCUAACACAUGAAGCAUUGAUAGUAACGGAAGAGGAAGGGACGGCUAACUCUGUGCCAGCAGCCGCGGUAAUACAGAGGUCCCAAGCGGUUGUUCGGAUUCACUGGGCGUAAAGGGUGCGUAGGCGGUUGGGUAAGUCUGACGUGAAAUCUCCGGGCCUAACCCGGAAACUGCGUUGGAUACUAUCCGGCUAGAGGAAUGGAGGGGAGACUGGAAUACUUGGUGUAGCAGUGGAAAUGCGUAGAUAUCAAGUGGAACACCAGUGGCGAAGGCGAGUCUCUGGACAUUUCCUGACGCUGAGGCACGAAAGCCAGGGGAGCAAACGGGAUUAGAUACCCGCGUAGU
rnacentral:rRNA from 1 species